CAUUACCGGUUCUCGUUAGAUCACCGAAGUUAAGCUUCAUUGGGCGCGGUCAGUACUUGGGUGGGUGACCACCUGGGAACACUGCGUGCCGUU
rnacentral:rRNA from 1 species